GAUCAUGGCUCAGGAUUAACGCUGGCGGCGUGCCUAAUACAUGCAAGUCGAAUGGUAGCAAUACCAUGGCGAACGGGUGAGUAACACGUAGGUAACCUGUCUUUAAGCCGAGGAUAACCAUUGGAAACGAUGGAUAAUACUGGAUAGGACAUUUGAAGGCAUCUUUGAAUGUUUAAAGAUUUAUCACUUAGAGAGGGGCCUGCGGCGCAUUAGCUAGUUGGUGAGGUGAAGGCUUACCAGGGCGAUGAUGCGUAGCCGGACUGAGAGGUUGAACGGCCACAAUGGAACUGAGAACGGUCCAUACUCCUACGGGAGGCAGCAGUAGGGAAUUUUCGGCAAUGGGCGGAAGCCUGAACCCGAGCAACGCCGCGUGAACGAAGAAGUAUUUCGGUAUGUAAAGUUCUUUUAUUAGGGACGAAAAGACAGAUUGACGGUACCUAAUGAAUAAGCUCCGGCUAACUACGUGCCAGCAGCGGC
rnacentral:rRNA from 1 species